UACGGAGGGUGCGAGCGUUGCUCGGAAUCACUGGGCGUAAAGCGUACGCAGGCCGUUUUGUAAGUCGGGUGUGAAAGCCCGGGGCUCAACCCCGGAACUGCGCCCGAGACUGCAGGACUUGAAUGCGGGAGAGGAAAGCGGAAUUCCUGGUGUAGAGGUGAAAUUCGUAGAUAUUAGGAAGAACACCAGUGGCGAAGGCGGCUCACUGGCCCGGUACUGACGCUGAGGCGCGAAAGCGUGGGGAGCAAACAGG
rnacentral:rRNA from 1 species